rnacentral:pre_miRNA from 1 species
GACCUACUCCCUCCGUCCUGAAAUACUUGUCGGAGAAAUUGAUAAAAAUGAAUGUAUUAGAACUAAAAUACGACUAGAUACAUCCAUUUCUCCGACAAAUAUUUCCGGAUGGAGAGAGUACUUU